UGAUGCACCUUAAAGCGACCGUAAUGCAACCAAAUUCCGCAGGUAAUAUUAUAUCGCUUUGCGUUUACAGUAAAUGCAUCGAUUCGCAAGCGAACAAUGCCGGUAGAUUUGAAUAAUACCAUACCUAAUUUAAUACCAAAUAAUUUAAUAUAAAUUUAUUAUAGGUUUGGCACUAUUGCGAUCUGAACGGAGGCCAAGCAUCGUUUCUCUGCCCAAAUGGAACCAUCUUCAGUCAAGUCGCUUUAACCUGCGAUUGGUGGUACAAUGUUAAGUGCGCUUCCACUGCCCAACUUUACGUGCUAAAUGAGCGAUUGUACAAAUACAUUAUUCCACUUUCACCCAAGUUUCCCGAAGAUUAUAGCGGACCUCUAGUCGACAAGUACUUGGCCAUGAAGUUCCAAGAAAUGGAAGAAAAGCUUAGAAAGCAGAAAAAAGGCAAAGGAAAUGCUGAUGCAAAAGUAUCGGAAGAAACGGCUGAAAGUGAUGACACAGAAGAUGAUGAAGAUGAUGAUGACGAUGAAGACAGUGAUUCCUCAAAGGAAGAAUCCCAAGCUGUUGAAGAGACUGAAACCACAACUGCAACAAGCCAAACUCCAGAUGUAGCAACGAUUAUUAGCAGCAACACUCGGAAAUAAACUUCAGAACUAUUCCUGCAUCAAAUUGAAUGGUUCAAGUUCAAAUGAACAUUCCAAACAAUUCGCCUGUACAAAACAGUGACAAUCAAUACAUUUUAUUAUUUGUCUUCAAUUUUCCCUGACCAGAAACGAUUAAAAGUUUGCGUUACAUUCAACUGCACAUAAUUAAUCGUCCGAUUGUGUUUAAAUGUUUACGAACAGUUGGACACAUUGAGUGCAGUUACAGAUGCUCAACUAGACGCAACCUUGUUUCAAUAAAUUAUUUUAAUUCAAAUAAAGUGAAAUUUAAAUAGCACUCCAAAUGAUUACAAUUUGAACAAAUUGAAUAUAAUGAACUUACUUUAUAUAUGGAUACAAGUUUUUCGCAUUUAAAACGAUGAUAUUUGUAUGAAUUUUUGUUCUAAGAGUCUCAAGGAAAUUGUCCCGUUAAAAUGUCUACAUAUUAUUUACUUUAAAAGCUUAAUUGGGCUUUAUCGCAAAGUUUAUCAAUAAUAUAAUUUUUUUACAACAAUAUAAAGACUCACGAUUUUUGGGUCUCGAACUCAUCUCACGGUAAACCACCUCCACUAAGGAAGUGAAACUGCAGAACAACGAAAAACUAAUUCGAAUUAAAAAUCAAAAUUUUAUUUCCAAGAAAAUCGAAUUUCAAAAGAUUAUCAAUUUAAAGUUAAAUUUAAAAAUCCGUUUGGUUCAAGGCAGAAUCCACGACUAAAACUAAUCGCAAUCAUUGUAAAUGCUUCUAAUGCUAAUGAAAGGAAAAUUAAACAGUGUUUAAAUAUGUACUAUUAAAUUUGGGGAAAAUAUAUCAAAUUUUAACAAUGACGCUCUGUAUAUAUGAAUUCAAGUUGAUAAGUAUUUUUAUUUAUUUAUUUUUGUAUACAUAAGCUGUUAAAAAAUUUGUUACUAUACAGUAAUUAUUGUAACAUGUACUUAAUUGUCAAUAGAAUUGUUCUAAAAAAGAA
rnacentral:lncRNA from 1 species